rnacentral:tRNA from 1 species
GGAGAGGUACGAAAGUGGCUUAACCGGAUGGCUUGCUAAGCCAUUGUACCGUUAAUUUGGUACCGAGGGUUCGAAUCCCUCCCUCUCCGCCA